rnacentral:ncRNA from 1 species
AAUGGCGGGUGCAGGAGUCCGCGCCAGCAAUCUGGAACGGUUUUUAAACGCAGGGGUAGAAGAGCUGCACAGCUCCGCGGGUAAAUGGAUACCUUCGCCCAUGCGUUAUCGCAAUACAGGAUUGUCAAUGUCGACGGAUGCUGAAGCGGAUGAGUAUUCACGCUAUGGCGUAGAGGGAGAGUCGGUUGCGGAAAUGAAGUCGCUGAUUGAGCGCCAUCACGUGUAGCAACGUACCGAUUUUUACCGCGCAUCAUGUCGCCCAAUAUGAUGCUUGCUUGUACCAGGCCCCUGCAAUUUCAACAGGGGCCUUUUUUU